rnacentral:lncRNA from 13 species
GGGAAGGCUCGUCAGAUGGGGACAGGGCUAGGCAUGCUUGAGCUUAGAUUGUUCUUGAGCAGGUCUUGCUGCAGCGGCUGUGGGGGAUGGGGUGAGCUUUCCAGGUCAACAGACUUGUGUACCUAGGAAGAUCACGACUGCCUCUGCUGAUUCAGGUUCAUUGUCGGGGAACUGGGGAAAAGCCAGGAGUCACAGGCAUCGCUAGCUCCCAAGAAAACUGAAGAGCUGGUCUCACUCCCACCACGCCCCUCCUAACAGCACCGAGUGUUUCUUGGCAAUGGGUGAGCAGGGCUUGAGAACUUGUCCCAGGCUACCUGCUUCCCAGCUGUGAGAGAAAGUGCUUUGUUUUUCCCCUGACUGUGGAGUCUACACAGGAGAUUUGUACCUCCCCUGAGUUUCUGGCCAGGAGGCUUGUUGCCCAGCUCAAACUGUUACAAAGUUCAAAGAAGAAAGUUGGAGACUUUCUUCUCCCUUUGGCAUUUUCCCUCACACCUCUAGCUGCCCUUUUGAAGGAUAUCUGUGGUGCUAGGCAGAAAUGGCGUGCUUGGAGACCCCGCAAGCUCCCAGGCCUUUCCUGCUGCUCCUCUACCCCUGUAUUUUGCUCAGCUCUCUAAAUUGCUCAGCUCAAGUAUCCUUGACUGGUUCCAAGUCCACAGGAGAAACUCUGGCACUCUCUAGUCCCUGCUCCUGCUCUGUAUGGAGGCCACAGAUCCCAGCUCUGCUGCCUGCUGGGAUGGACAGAAAGAGUAGACCCCAGGUGUGCUGAGCACGGUGCUCUAUUAAUAAUAUAUUAGUAAUAUACCUGGUUAUAUUACAUGGUGCAUUUUGGACUAGUCUAUCAUAAAACAAGUCCUGGAGAAAAGCAUAUGUGUUGCAUUCUUUACUGUUGAAAAAGCAGUCUCAGAGAGAUUCUCCAACUCAUCAUUCAUUUGUUCACUCAUUGGAUAAUCAUUUGCGACUCUCCUGUUAUGAGUGGUGACUUGAAGGACUAGACAGAUAAUAUCUUAAAUAUUACUGAAUUGGCUUUCUAGGGAGAGGAGAUAACAGUUAAUAAGUUGACAAACAUGGACAAAAUGAGAAAUUAGAGUGACUUAGACAAUUAAAUUAGGCUGAUGGGGCAGAGAGGAAGUCAUGGAGGAAGGUAAGAGACAAUUAGAUUGAGUGACAGAAAGGGACUGGGUACCAGUCCUUUAAAACUCAGCGAGAAGAACUUUCUGGCUAGGAGGAACAGCCAGGACAGUGGUUCUGAUGUGGGGACUGGCCUGAAUGUUUGAGGAAUGGAGGGUGGGUGAGUGGAGCCACAUGGGGCACAAUGGAAGGCAAGAGAGGCCACUGGGCCUCUGCAGGCUUUGGUUAAGAAUUUGGAUUUCAUACUAAGUGCAAAAGGAAGCUUUAGAUUAAAAAAAAAUUAUUUUAGAUCUAGAAAAGUUGCAAAGGCAGCACAGAGUUCCUGUCUACCCUUCACCAGCUUCCUCUCAUGUUAGUGUCUUACAUAACCAUGGCCCAUUUAUCAAAGCUAAAAAUUAACACUGAUGCAACACUCUUAACUAAGCUACAGACCUUAUUCAGAUUUCAGUGGUUUGUUCACUGAUGUCCCUUUUCUGUCCUAGAAUCCCAUCCAGGAUCCUACGCUGCAUUUAGUCAUCCAGCUCCUAAGGCUCCUCCGAUCUGUGACAGCUCCGGGGUCUGUCCUUGUUUCUCAUGACCUGAUGCUUUUGAAGAGUAGCAGUCAGCAUCUCGCAGAAUGUUCCUCAGUUUGGAUUUAU